rnacentral:misc_RNA from 1 species
GAUGAAGAACGUAGCGAAAUGCGAUACGUAGUGUGAAUUGCAGAAUUCCGUGAACCAUCGAAUCUUUGAACGCAAAUUGCGCUCGAGGCCUCGGCCAAGAGCAUGUCUGCCUCAGCGUCGGCUACUACCCUCAACUAAGUUUCCUAUACACAUAGGGGAUGCCGGUUGGAUCUGGCCGUCCGGUUUGCCUUUUAGGUUGCCGGUCAGCUGAAAUACAUUCACGCUCUGGGGGCUGCUUUCCUUCCGAGGAGAGGCGAGUUCCGAUUUGGUAGGUGACCUUUGCCGGUUGCAUGCCUUCGUUGCCCGCUAAGCUUUCCAGUAUGCGUUGUGCAGGACGCCUUUUGGCUUUCGACCUGAGGUCAGGCAAGAACACCCGCUGAACUUAAGCAUAUCAAUAAGCGGGGA